rnacentral:rRNA from 1 species
CCUACGGGAGGCAGCAGUGAGGAAUAUUGGUCAAUGGACGAGAGUCUGAACCAGCCAAGUAGCGUGAAGGAUGACUGCCCUAUGGGUUGUAAACUUCUUUUAUAUGGGAAUAAAAUGUUCCACGUGUGGGAUUUUGUAUGUACCAUAUGAAUAAGGAUCGGCUAACUCCGUGCCAGCAGCCGCGGUAAUACGGAGGAUCCGAGCGUUAUCCGGAUUUAUUGGGUUUAAAGGGAGCGUAGGUGGAUUGUUAAGUCAGUUGGGAAAGUUUGCGGCUCAACCGUAAAAUUACAGUUGAAACUGGCAGUCUUGAGUACAGUAGAGGUGGGCGGAAUUCGUGGUGUAGCGGUGAAAUGCUUAGAUAUCACGAAGAACUCCGAUUGCGAAGGCAGCUCACUGGACUGCAACUGACACUGAGGCUCGAAAGUGUGGGUAUCAUACAGGAUUAGAUACCCGUGUAGUC